GUUGUCUGAUUUAGACCUUCUUUAACGUGAAGAAAAGAAAAUGGCGACCACGUUGAGGGUGUCGGACUGUCGGGUAAAGUGACGAUAAAAGCUUACGAAAAGUCGAUAAUAACUCGUGCCACAUACCCGUACUUCAACAGCAGUGCAAACGUGGAGUGUAGAUUGUCGAUUUUUCGGCGGGGAGAAGAAAACAGUUUUCCACAGUUUUAGUUAUUAAAGUAAGAACCGUAGGAUGAAAAAAACUACUGCCUUAGAGUUCUGUAAGACGCAAUUAAUAGUACUCGAGUAGCCCCAUGAAUUCGAACAGUUGCUUGUAAUUUUGGCCUCGACGGAAUUUAAGACAGGACCUUCGUCAAGAGCAAAUGAUAAAUAGAAACAUUAUUUUCAGGGAAGACAAGUUCUACACAACAAGACAUUUAUGAAUUAGAAUGAAGUGGGUUAUUUUGUUGAAAUCUAAGGGGAUCUACGGAAUGUGUGCAGGUCAUAGGCUGCCAAACUCCAACGUGCUCCAAUUUAUCUUGUCAUCUUAUAUUGGACUCUUAUAACAUUAGCAUGGUGGCAUUAGCAUCUAUGUCCUAUGUGUAACAUAUGGUGUGUAAGGCCUUUCUUACAUACAAAGUCAUUUCUCUGAAAGAUGUAGGAUUCCCAGCCUACAACAUUUUGUUUUAGGUGGAACUGUUGAAUGGUGUGGAUUACAACCUACAAGUAGUGAAGCCAUAGAUGGGAAAUGAAUAUUUGGGUUACGACCGACAUGGGCGCAAAUACUGAUUCAUUGUAAGAUGCAUCUAUGUCGAAGAAACUGGCAGCCUGGAAGAAAUUGACGGCUGUGAUAAAUAAAUAAA